rnacentral:snRNA from 17 species
GUCUUUGCGCAGUGGCAGUAACAUAGCCAAUAAGGUCAAACCGAGGCGUGAUUAUUGCUAAUUGUGAUGAAGCUUAUUGUACAGCACUGCGGAAUAUGUUGGCGCUUUAUAAAUAAA